CAGUCGACGAUGAACUGGAGCUUGCUCCAGGGAUUAGUGGCGAACGGGUGAGUAACACGUGAGUAACCUGCCCUUGACUCUGGGAUAAGCGCUAGAAAUGGCGUCUAAUACCGGAUACGAGCUUCAGCCGCAUGGCUAGGAGUUGGAAAGAAUUUUGGUCAAGGAUGGACUCGCGGCCUAUCAGCUAGUUGGUGAGGUAAUGGCUCACCAAGGCGACGACGGGUAGCCGGCCUGAGAGGGUGACCGGCCACACUGGGACUGAGACACGGCCCAGACUCCUACGGGAGGCAGCAGUGGGGAAUAUUUGCACAAUGGGCGAAAGCAGUAGGGAAGAAGCGAAAGUGACGGUACCUGCAGAAAAAGCACCGGCUAACUACGUGCCAGCAGCCGCGGUAAUACGUAGGGUGCAAGCGUUGUCCGGAAUUAUUGGGCGUAAAGAGCUCGUAGGCGGUUUGUCGCGUCUGCUGUGAAAUCUGGGGGCUCAACCCCCAGCCUGCAGUGGGUACGGGCAGACUAGAGUGCGGGGGAGAUUGGAAUUCCUGGUGUAGCGGUGGAAUGCGCAGAUAUCAGGAGGAACACCGAUGGCGAAGGCAGAUCUCUGGGCCGUAACUGACGCUGAGGAGCGAAAGCAUGGGGAGCGAACAGGAUUAGAUACCCUGGUAGUCCAUGCCGUAAACGUUGGGAACUAGAUGUGGGGGCCAUUCCACGGUCUCCGUGUCGCAGCUAACGCAUUAAGUUCCCCGCCUGGGGAGUACGGCCGCAAGGCUAAAACUCAAAGGAAUUGACGGGGGCCCGCACAAGCGGCGGAGCAUGCGGAUUAAUUCGAUGCAACGCGAAGAACCUUACCAAGGCUUGACAUAUACCGGAAACGUCCAGAGAU
rnacentral:rRNA from 1 species